UGCUCAGCCUUCUUCACAGUCCAACUCUCACAUCCAUAUGUGACCACUGUCUUUACUGGAUGCGGGCAAAAAGCAUCCUGGCAUAAGAACAUCUCAAGUUAAUGUAUUCGAUAGCUUUCUUUAUUUUUGUACUUUAUAGAAAUAGGGUCAAACAUAUUCUUUCAAAAUUCUGUGAUUCUUUCCCAAUUUUUGCUCAAAAUGGCGUUUGUCAGAUUUAUGUGAUUAGUAAGUGAGUAGCCCAUGUUCUGAAGGUAAGCAGUGUGCUUUUGAGGGUUGUUUGCGCUGUUGCCAGUGUUCCAUGUUUUGCAGGAUGAGGUGUGACUACUCCCCGGCUCCUAGACGCCCAUGCACAAGUUUCCUCUACGACUUACCCCUAACUGUUGAUCUGCCCUGUCAUAGGGCAGGUACGCAUCCCUUCAUUAGACGCUGUCAGAUCCCUCGCUGGACUCUCCCCGAGUGGUUGUGCCAAAUGAGACUCCCACACUCGGAAGAUUCACAUGGCUCCACAUUCUUAUCUUGGCUUUCAUGUGCAUUUGAGAUUAAGUAACAUUUCCUUUCUUUGUAAUUUGAGAUUCCUUGUUUACAAACACCUCUCUGUGCCUUUUGCUCAUUUUUCCAUUGGACGGCUUAUAUUUUCCAUGUCAGAUUGGAGCUCUUUCAUACUUUGAAUACUAACUCUUUGUUGGUUACAGUUGCUACGAAUACUCUGUGUGACUUGUCUUUGCUCUCACAGUGUCUUCUGAUAACGGUUCUUAAUGCAACAUGAUCUAAUGGAUCAAUUUUUCCCAUAUGGUGGAUUUUUUUGUUUUGUUUUGUUUUGUUUUCCUGCUUGUUCCCUACUUUACACGGGAACAGACAGUGGUUCAGAUGUUGGGUAAUCUCAUGCCCAGGUUCCAACCCAGUUUCCUCCUCCUGGGGAUUUACCCACACAAGUCAUCUCCCAAGGCCACCGUGAGUCCAAAGACACCUGGGCUCCGCAGGUCCAGUCGACUCCCCACCCUCAGGCACUGUCACCAGCUCCUUCUUCAGAGGCUGAGAGGAAGAACAAAGAUUUGGAUUCAACAAGGAAAGCUGGGAGGGCAUGGCCUCCUCUCUCCUGAGGGCUCUUGCCCCUGUGUCUUGAAGAGUAAACCGCAUGACCUCAGUUAAAGGAAGGAAGAGAGGGUGAAAGGAAAGAAGACAGGAAGGAAAAGGAAAGGAGGUCCCCCGCAGUCCCAUCGUCCCCACACGCACCUCCUUCCGGUCACGUGCAGGCCUGUGCCACUUGGUGUACUUACUAUUUUGUGCUCCUUUGUCACUUCUACGUUUGUUCUUGUGAAACAUACUUAAUUUUUAACAGCCAUCCAAGGCACCAUUGAGUGGAUAGAUGUGCCCGAACGCAGCCAUACUUCCAGUAUUGGACAGACAGGAGGCUAUUUUCAGAGUCAGCCUAGAUGAUUCAGUCAAACCAGUAGUGGUUAGUUUUAAUCAUUAUUUCUUUUUUCUACCUUUUAACUAUUUCCUUAAGCUACAUUCUCAGAAAUGGGAUUUCUGGGUAAAAGGGGAUGGAUAUUUUUGUUGCUUUUAAAAGAUAGUGGCAGAUCUCUUUUCAAAAAUGUUGUGCUAAUUUGUAAAACCCAAAAUAAAUUUCUUGCAAUUUUUCAAAGGGAAUAGUGCAGCAAGAAAAGUUCCCCAGAAUAUCCCUCCAGUGCCUUGGAGGGCUCUUUCCUUAUAGAGUUUCAGGAAGGUUCUAAUCAGCAGCUCUAUUUUUGUGAGCUCAGGUUGUGGUAGACAGGAGGCUGUGUGGCUAUCAGGACUGAUAAGGGUAUCUGGGGACUGUUUGUGGCCAGUUUAAAUGCCUACUAUGUAGCGCUGUAGUCUGGGAACCUGGUGAGAGUGGCAGGCUCUCUUUGUAGAGACUCCGUUUCCACUCUCCCAAAGCUUGCACUUCAGGUGUGGAAUGACACGUCUGAGGGCACUGCCAACUGGAUGGGCAGCCUUGCUCACAUGGUGGUCUUGCGUUGUUCUCUCAAGAAAGUAAAGGCCUGGGUGAUUGUCGCCGGGCUCAACUGUACCCCAAGAGGGUGUAAGUGCUCAGGCCAACAGCCCAGGUAGGGAGGCUGAACCCUGAGGAUCAGAGCUGUUCUGGGCUCAGCUCAGGUUCCCUCCCUGGGAACCAGUUGGAGGAUCCAGGCAGCAUCAAAGCCCAGGGAGCAGUGAGUGGGUGCAGGGAUGUCCCUGCCCUCCUGCCAAAGCCUUUCCCUCUGGCUGCUGGGCCU
rnacentral:lncRNA from 1 species